rnacentral:tRNA from 1 species
GCCCUUUUAACUUAGUGGUAGCGUAAUGCCAUGGUAAGGCGUAAGUCAUCAGUUCAAAUCCAAUAAGGAGGGCA